AGGCUGGCCUCGAACUCAGAAAUCCUCCUGCCUCUGCCUCCCAAGUGCUGGGAUUAAAGGUGUGCGCCACCGCUGCCUGGCUAGCUUACCUAUUUUUGCUGCUAGCCCAACUGUAAUGUGCUAAGCUUAGCUAAGGCAAGCUGUGUGCUCCAUGAUUACUCCCUUCUUCUUUAUUCCCUCCCCUUCCCUUUUCUUUUGAUGGGGUUUCUACAUAUGAACUCACUAUGUAGACAGGGUCAGCCUCAAACUCCCAGAGAUCCGCCAGCCUUUGUCUCCUGAGUGCUAGGAUUAAAGACAUUGGCCACUACCUCAGGCCUGCCAGUGGCACCUUUCCUACUGAGCAGCUGAUAGACAAACUCAGACUCCAGGUGUCUGGCAUACAUUUUCCCAAAUAUGAAUGAGAUGAGCCUGACACUUCAAAAACAGUAUCAAUAUUUGUUUCCAACAAGAAAUUUGAGUUUGAGCAGAACUCAGAGUUUUGGAAACUUUGUAUCUCCCUUGUGAUGGAGAGAGUAGCUUUCCCAGACAGGAAACUGUUAAGAGCAGUAGAGACCAAAGGUGAUGAUGUUUUGAUGUUUUGUGAGGAAAUGUAUCAACCUUUGGAAAAAUCAGUAUAGCUUAGUACCACAGUGGUCUACACUGGCUUACACUUGUUGUUACAAAAUGCAAGAUAGCCCUGUAACAGGGCAAGCCUAUGUCCCUAGCUGUUGAAAGAGGCCAAGGUAGGUGUUCACGUGAACUCAGGAGUUCCAGACUAGCCUGAACUACUUAAAAAUAGCCCACCCCAUACCCCCCGAAAGAAAAUCAUAACCUUGCAAGGUAGAACUUCAUGUUUAUUGGUAGGGUUUGGCACCUUGUACUGACCUUAGAAUUAAGCCUUGUCAGCCUGCCCUGGUGCACACUAGUUUAAUCCCAGCAGAGGCAGAGGCAGAGGCAGAGGCAGAGGCAGGCAGAUCUUUGAGAUAGUUUGAGGCUAGCCUCAUAGUGAGUUCCAAGACAGCCAGGGCUACAUAUACAUAGAAACCCUGCCUCAAAAGAAAGAAAGAAAAACAGAGAAAGAACACUGGUCGUGUUUUCUCGUGAUGGCAUAGAAUAGCCGUAGUUAUCUGGAAACCUGGUGAACUGUCCUUCCUUCCCUGACUUCACACACAGUGAGGCUCGCUCCUUCAUGCUCCUCCACCAGGGCAGCCUGGUGUCUUGUGCAGGGACUUUACUUCGCAGGAACCAGCUGCUGCUAGAAAACCAGAUAUUAGGUUUGCAAAAGCAUAAACUAUGCCAGCAUGAUGGCUCAGCAGGUAAAGGCACUUGCCUCCAAGUUGGACUGUUGAAUUUGAUCACCAGGCUUCACAUGUAGUCGGUGGCACUGGCACACAUAGGACAAACAAUAAUGUUUUUAAGUUAAACAGUGUCUUUUUACUGAUUUUGUUGUGUUUUAUGCAAUAUUGUUCUCCCUCCCUCUCUGCCUUGCCUUCCCUUCCCUUCCCUUCCCUUCCCUUCCCUUCCCUUCCCUUCCCUUCCCUUCCCUUCCCUUCCCUUCCCUUCCCUUCCCUUCCCUUUCCCCUAGACAGGGUUUCUCUGUGUAGCCCUGGCUGGCCUAGAACUCACUAUGUAGACUAGGUUAGCCUUGAACUCAGAGAUCCACCUACCUCUGCCUCCUGAAAGAUUAAUGCUCUUAAAUUUAGAUUCUAUUUGGUUAAGUCUUAGUGCCUAUCACCUGCUCCCCAGACAAAAUCCUUCUAGGAGUUUUAGAAAUUAUUAUUUCUGGCUGGGUGCUGGUGGCGCACGCCUUUAAUCCCAGCACUUGGGAGGCAGAGGCAGGCGGAUUUCUGAGUUCAAGGCCAGCCUGGUCUACAGAGUGAGUUCCAGGACAGCCAGGGCUACACAGAGAAAUCCUGUCUCGAAAAACCAAAAAAAAAAAAAAAGAAAAAGAAAUUAUUUCUGAAAAAUGGGAAGUGCUUCUGGAUUCGGGUGGGAACAUGAGCGUAGGGGUUGGGAGGGGUUGGCAGGUGUCACACCGGCUGAUCUCUCCUAAACAUUCUUCUACUGGCCUGAACCCAGGCAGCUCAGCAAGGCCCCUGACCCCCUUGACAGGACCAGAAGAGCCAGGCUCUGGAGUCUUGGCUCAGCUACUCCUAAGACAGGAGUCACAGCUCCCAAGAGCCUCAGGUGCACCAUCUGUUCAGCAGGGACAGUGCCUCCCGCACAGGGGAAUUACCAGCCUCUUGGCUAAUAAUGUUGGUGAGAAAAGGCUGUCUAAGUUGUGAAACACUCAAUAGAUAAUUAUUUUUGUGGUUGUUUUGUCUGGAACCAGCGUGGUUAGCUGGCUAAGACCCUGUAAAACCUGUCCCAUGGACAUAGGAGGACAGUAAGCAAUUGUCUCCUUUUCCUUAAAAGGGGGGCCCACUCCUGCCCUCCUAUAUACCCCAUCUCCCCUGUGCAGACACUGUGUGGGCUGGCCUGUUACUGAAGGAAAGAGUGUAUUGAUGGCUGUCACUCGGCCUGGCUUGGGACGACGUGGGAGAGAGGUGCCAGGAGGCCAGGCUCCUGUGCUUAGCGUGUGCACCGCCCACCCUCCCACCCACCGCCUGCUGCCUGCCUGCUAUAGGGCCAGGAGCCACCACUGGGAGAGGAAGUGCAGUCGGUUACCAAUUGGGCUAUUUUCAUAACGGUUGUUGUCUCCGGCUUGGGGGAGGAGGGUGGUGAGGGGGAGGGGGCAGCGGAGCCACUGCAGCUAGCUGUCCAAACUAGGACUUGCUCUGCAGAGGCCGGCAAUCCCAGCAAACUGGAGCAAGAGCAGAGGCGCCUGGGACCCCAGUCCCCACCUGCUUGUCCUUCCAGAUCAGGUCAAAAGGGGGGGGGGUCCUCACUCUUCCUUAACUCCUGCUCCCUUCUGUGACUGGGUGGAUCUGGGGAGGGUAGAUCAGGGCAGGCCCAGGCACCACCAUCUCCAGAUAAGGGCUUCCCUGCCAGCCCCCCCUCGGUCUGAUGGAAAGGAGCUGGGCCUGCUGGGCCCCCCACGCCUGGGCAGGCCCUGAAAGAAAUACUUGGCUCUCAUUUAGCUCUCUUACCCUUCAGCCCUGGCCCACCCAUUUACCUGCAUGUUGUCCUUGUGUUUGGAGCAGAAUCUCUUUAGUGAGGAGACCUGGUAAAGUCCGCACCCUGCCUGAUCAGCCCAGGCCAGCCUAGACGAGCUGGCUGCCUUCCCAGAUUUCCUCUCUUCCCCCUGACCCCUGGGGCUGUGGGAGCCGAGCAGCCAGGGCUGGCUUCUGGCAAGCAGUCCCUCCGACCAGGCAGGCCUUCAUUCUGGGACUGGUAGAGAACAGGUGCCCUACCCAGGCCAGCCUUCAUGGAGCAGAGGCCUUCCCAUGGCGUGAAGUAGCUACUGUGGCAAGACCCAACUGGUGUCCUGUGCAGGUCCCUCUGGAGGCUGAGGGGUCCCGGAGGACCCGCCUCAUGCCAGGUGCAGAGGGCAUUCCUCAGGAACAGACGCCCGGGUGGCAUGGCUGUAUGGCUUUCUUCCUCAUGUGGUGAGCGGUGGCCACCCUGGGCACUCCUGCUUCCUUUUCUGGGUUCCCACCCCCGCUGUGGGCAGAAACAAACCUCAGGAGGUGGCACGACCAUAGGCCCUGCGGUUCUACCGUGUCCUAGGUCUGCCAGGUAGCAUCAGGUGCUUUCUGUGCAUCCUUGCAGAGUGACCCUCAUGCUGGCCUGUGGUGGUUGGACCCACCUUGCACAUGGAAAAGUAGAUGGGUGGCUAGUUGAUCUGCUGAGGGUGUGUAGUGUACAUGCUAGGUUCCUAAGUGCUUGCUUGCUUACUUACUUAUUUAUUUACAAACAUGUCUCAUGUAGCCCAGGCUGACAUUGAACUUGUAUCCUUCAAGAUGGUCUUGCCUCCUGCCUCUGCCUCCCAAGUGCUGGGGAUUACAGGGUCACACCACUAUACCAGGUUUUUCCUAGUAGCCAGCAUCAAAUGUGAGGUGGUUUGGCUAGGGGCCAGCGGCCCUUCCUAGCAGGUGGUUGAGGAAGCAUGUGGCUUGCUCAUGCCGUCCCCCCAUCUCCCAUACGCCCUGCCCUCAUCAGGCUCUCAGAGGCCAGCUGGAGAUUAAUGUGGCCCUCUGAGACAUUUUUAUAUUGUCCUCCUUGAGUAUGGCUGGGUGCCCCAGACAAGCCCAGGAAGCCUAGGAGGCAGCCAUUUUGCUGUGCUGUCAGUGUGAGAACCUUCUAGGGCCUCCCCCAAGACAGUGUGGUGUGUGGAGGUGAUAAGGGAUGGAGUGAGAAGAGGUGACCACUCAAGCGGAACCAUGGGAGAACUCCAGACCCAAACAGGGCUUCUUUUGUUUGCCUGCCUUUUAGUUAAGUUAGUUAAUUAAGAUGGGGGUCUCACUAUGUAGCCCUGGCUGUCUUGGAACUUGCUUUGUCAACCAGGUUAGCCUCAAAGUCACAGAGAACCACCUACCUCUGCUUCUGAAGUCCUGGGACUAAGGGAGUGAACUUCCAUGCCAAGGUUUUGUUUUGUUUUGUUUUGUUUUUCCUUUUGCAUUUCUUUUUAAAACAGUUGUAGCCCAGGCUGGCCUAGAAUUCAUUAUCUAGCCUAGGUUGGCUUCAGACAUUCAGCAGUCUUCCUGUCUCAGCUUUCCAAGUGCUGGGAUAAUGGGCAUGAACUGCCAUGGAGAAGCAGGAUAGGAAGAGAUCGGCAGAGAUAGGAAGUGAAGAGUCAGGCUAUCUCUGGCCAGCAGACCAAUGUUUCUAUGGAGAUGAGCUGAACAGGAAACAUGGGACCAGCGGGAGGGGCAGUGGGAACCCAGUGGUGUUUGGGGUGGUAGUGUCCCUCAGGAGAGCUUGCCGGAAGAUGUCGACUAGUCGUAACAGUCUUCUUAGGUAAACAGGGAAACUGAGGCCUGUGGCCACAGCCGUAGGCACAGGCUUGGCCUUGUGCACCCUGAGCAGCUGAGGAAGCUUGUUGUCCCGGAGCACCCGGCAGCGUGUGGCUUCUCUAGUUGUGCAUGUAAGCUGCCAUGUGUCCUAACAAGGGCUGCUUCCUUCUUGUCUGGUCAUGCAGGUCUGAGACAGCAGGGAAGGCCCAGCCUUUACCCCUGACCAGAGAGCAUAGCACCACCUCCCCCACAGUGACUGUGGCCUUUUGUUUUCUGGGUGACACAAGCUAGCUUCAGGGGUGUGAUGCGUCUGGGUGACUAAUCUCCUCCAGGCCGGGCAGCUGUCACAGUGGCCCGAGCAGACUGGUGGGGAAAGCUGACACCCUAGGGGAGAGCUGGCACACUAGUGCCCUGGCGGCAGCAGGCAGCUGGGCCUGCAGGUUCCACAGAAAAUGGACCCUAACUCAAGUAGCCCACACUGGCUGGCUGUGUGACCUGGGCGUGCUCUUGCUACUUUCUUAUAAUGAAGCUGUGGCCGUGCCUCCCUCAGAGGCUCUGGUAGGAUCAGUGAGGUGGUGGAGGGCUCACCCAUGGUCUGGCACAGAGUAGCACUAGAUGGCUGUGACUAGUGUGGGCCUUUCUCUAGCCCGUCUCACCUCCAUCCCAGGGUCUACCAUCUGCUCCAUACUCGCUGCCUGUGGGCUUUGUGUGUGCUACCCUUGGUGCCUUAGCUUGCUUCUUCAUCUGGUGCAUGCUUCUCUCUCUCUCUCUCUCUCUGUGUGUGUGUGUGUGUGUGUGUGUGUGUGUGUGUACACCUAUCUAACUAUCUUUCCCCCACCCCCUCUGUGUAUAUGUAGUGGACCCAUUAACUGUUAGCUGGAUGAAACCAGCCCUCUUGCCAGUGUCGGCUCUUAUGUUUCUGGAACUCACCUCCUGUCCAGUCUCAAUGCUGCUUUGCUUGCGCAGUCCCCCCACCCUCCCACCCCUUGCUCACUGAUUGCAGGAGCUCUGUCCCCUGGGCCCACUUCUUUUCUCUGCCACACCCUAUACUGGCUCUACCGCUGCCUGCUGAGACCUAUAUCGAGGAUAGACAGAGGGCAGAGAGCAGGUGCUGCAUAGAUCAGGUGGGCCUGUCUUCCCAGGCUGUGCUCCCAGGCAGCCCUUCCUCUCCACCACUGCUCUGGACUUCAGCCAGACCCUCGGCAGGCAGAAAUUGUGUCAUCCAGUAGCACUCGUGGAUGUGACUUGGGCUUCCAUGGCUGCUCUUUGGAGCCAUCUCCCUCAGCUGAUUGGGGGCUUCCUGCCAUUCCUCAAGUGUAGAAGAGGUGUGAGCACAGGAGUUGGUCCCCGGGGCCUGGGAAGGAGGAAAGAUAGACCAGGGAGUAAAGAAAUAGGUGUCUGGAUAGCGUGCAUGGCCUGGUACACACCCAGGGAAGAGCCCAGGCCCCUGCUCUCUGCAUAGACGUGUGAGCCUGAGGACAGUAUGUUGCGCUGAAUCCCUCCGUAGGAAGGCUUAAGGGGUUUGGGGACCUCACACCUUGGGAUCCCCAUAUUGCAGUCUUUGGAACAGUGAGACAGAGUCAUUCAUUACCAGAAAGUUCUUAGAGAUGUGUGCACAUGGCAUCUAGCAUCAGCGUUCUCUUAGCCAGAACCUCUUGCUGUAUCCCCCACACCAAGACAAUAACACUCUUGGGGCAGGCCGUGCUUUUCCAAUUCUCAGAAGCCCAGUCUCCCAGUAACUAAACCCAAGGUUUGGGCUGAAUAUAGGGAUUUUAUCAGGACUCAGAGCCUUCGCAGAGAACCCACGUUUAGUAUUUUUGCUUAAUUGCACUGUAUCCCAGGAGAGGAACCCAACCUGUUCCAUGUGUGGGCAAAAGGAAGACCAGAUGAGAGGGACAGGCCCCAGAGCCCUUGUAGUCUACCCAGGCAGAGUCUGGGUCCCAGGUUACCUUUUGCUUCCAUUUCUGGCAAGGCAGUUGAAGUCCUUUAGGCUCAGAUCUCUGUUGUUUCUGGUGCCUGGGCAGGUGAGGCCCCAUCUCCUAAGAACUCCUGGGGUAGAAUUUAGGGAAUGCUUGCAGGGAGCAGUGUUUAUACUCCAGUAACCAAGCUUGGGUUCCCCUGCUCUUCCUGGUACCUUCAAGCUCUUUUCACAGAGGACAGAGGGUCCUCAUCCCUAACACCUAUGUGUCCCUUCUUUGCUUAUGGGACACAGCUGUGCUUCAGCUUGGCCCAGCUCCUGACACUCCCAGUCUGUAUGCCCAACAGCCCCUGGCAUGGAGACCUUCUUUAGGAAGCAUUUCCAACGAAAGGCACGAGGUCCCGGAGAGAGGCAGCGGCGGUCCAGUGGCGUGGGGCUGCCCACAGGCAAGGCUCGACGCCGCUCCCCUGCAGGGCAGGCGUCCUCUUCACUGGCCCAGAGGCGCCGCUCCAGUGCACAGCUCCAGGGCUGUUUUCCCAGCUGCGGGGUGGGCACGAGAGGUGCCAGCCGCAGGCGAUCCAGCACUGCACCCCCUACCUGCAAUCCCCGCUUCAUGGUGGAUGUGGUGCCUACCCUACAGCCUGUCACAGUUGGGGCCCAGCUUCUGGGUGCACCCCUGCUGUUGGCUGGGCUCACAAGCAUGAAGGAGGAAGAGGAGGAGGAAGGGGUCCAGGAGGGAAAUGAGACAGCUGAGGCGACAAGUGAUGCUAGGCCAGGUACCCGGACAACGCCCUUCUCACACCAGGGCACCUGGCCACUGCUUCCCAUGCCCCGCUGCCUGCGUCGAGCCUCCUCCCACCUGCUCCCUGCUGAUGUGGAGUGUGGCCAUACCCUUUGGGGCCUGCAUGGUCACUAUCGACGCCUCAGCCAGCGGUGGCCCUCAGGCCAGCACCCUGGUCUUGGGGGCCGAAGCCCAAGAGCCUCGGGCGCUGCAGCAUGCCCCAUGAUACCGGCCCGUGUGCGCCCACUGUCUCGCAGACGCCAGGUAGCUCUAAGGCGGAAGUCAGCUGGACCCCAGCCCUGGAGCACCCUGCUUAUGAAAGCCAUCACCAAGUCGGGCCUCCAGCACCUGGCACCCCCUCCUCCCACGCCCGGGGCCCCGUGCGGUGAAUCUGAGGAGCAGAUCCAGAGCACUGUGGACUGGAGUGAGUCAGCAGUGUAUGGGGAGCACAUCUGGUUUGAGACCAACGUGUCCGGUGACUUCUGCUAUGUCGGGGAGCAGCACUGUGUAGCUAAGAUGCUGCCGAAGUCAGCGCCCAGAAAAAAGUGUGCAGCCUGUAAGAUCGUGGUGCAUACCCAAUGCAUUAAGCAGCUGGAAAAGAUCAAUUUCCGCUGUAAGCCGUCCUUCCGCGAAUCAGGCUCCAGGAAUGUCCGUGAGCCAACCUUCGUAAGACACCACUGGGUCCACAGACGACGCCAGGAUGGCAAGUGUCGGCACUGUGGGAAGGGCUUCCAGCAGAAGUUCACCUUCCACAGCAAGGAGAUCGUAGCCAUCAGCUGCUCCUGGUGCAAACAGGCAUACCACAGCAAGGUGUCGUGCUUCAUGAUGCAACAGAUUGAGGAACCCUGCUCCCUAGGGGUGCAUGCAGCCGUGGUCAUCCCACCCACCUGGAUCCUGCGGGCCCGGAGGCCCCAGAACACCCUCAAGGCCAGCAAGAAGAAAAAGAGAGCGUCCUUCAAGAGGAGGUCCAGCAAGAAAGGACCUGAGGAAGGCCGCUGGAGACCCUUCAUCAUCAGACCCACCCCAUCCCCCCUCAUGAAACCCCUGCUGGUGUUUGUGAACCCCAAGAGUGGGGGCAACCAGGGUGCCAAGAUCAUCCAGUCUUUUUUGUGGUAUCUGAAUCCCCGACAAGUCUUUGAUCUGAGCCAGGGAGGACCCAGGGAAGCGCUGGAAAUGUACCGCAAAGUACAUAAUUUGAGGAUUCUGGCUUGCGGGGGUGAUGGCACGGUUGGCUGGAUUCUCUCCACCCUGGACCAGCUGCGCUUAAAACCACCGCCUCCUGUAGCCAUCCUGCCUCUGGGCACUGGCAAUGACCUGGCCCGAACCCUCAACUGGGGUGGGGGUUACACAGAUGAGCCUGUGUCAAAGAUCCUUUCCCAUGUUGAGGAGGGGAAUGUGGUACAGCUGGACCGUUGGGACCUCCGAGCAGAGCCCAACCCUGAGGCGGGGCCUGAGGAGCGAGAUGAUGGAGCCACUGACCGGCUGCCCCUGGAUGUCUUUAACAACUACUUCAGCCUGGGCUUCGAUGCCCACGUCACCCUGGAAUUUCAUGAGUCUCGAGAAGCCAACCCAGAGAAGUUCAACAGCCGCUUUCGGAAUAAGAUGUUCUAUGCUGGGACGGCCUUCUCUGACUUCCUGAUGGGCAGCUCCAAGGACUUAGCCAAGCACAUCCGAGUAGUGUGUGACGGAAUGGACCUAACCCCCAAGAUUCAGGACCUGAAACCGCAGUGCAUCGUCUUUCUGAAUAUCCCCAGGUACUGUGCAGGCACCAUGCCCUGGGGCCACCCCGGGGAGCACCAUGACUUCGAGCCCCAGAGGCAUGAUGAUGGCUACCUGGAGGUCAUCGGCUUCACCAUGACAUCCUUGGCAGCACUGCAGGUGGGUGGGCACGGCGAGCGAUUGACGCAGUGCCGAGAAGUGCUGCUCACCACUGCCAAGGCCAUCCCUGUGCAGGUGGACGGUGAGCCCUGCAAGCUUUCAGCAUCACGGAUUCGAAUUGCCCUGCGCAACCAGGCCACUAUGGUGCAGAAGGCCAAGCGCCGGAGUACUGCCCCACUGCACAGCGACCAGCAGCCAGUUCCUGAGCAGCUGAGGAUCCAGGUGAGCAGGGUCAGUAUGCACGACUACGAGGCUCUACAUUAUGACAAGGAGCAGCUCAAGGAAGCCUCUGUGCCUCUGGGCACUGUGGUGGUCCCCGGAGACAGUGACCUGGAGCUCUGCCGCGCCCACAUUGAGAGACUGCAGCGGGAGCCCGAUGGGGCUGGAGCCAAGUCCCCGAUGUGCCACCAACUCUCCUCCAAGUGGUGUUUCCUGGAUGCCACCACUGCCAGCCGCUUCUACAGGAUCGACAGAGCCCAGGUCUGCUGCCUUGCUUCUGGUCCCCAAACCGCCCCCCGCCACUGGAAACUAAGGGCCGUGUGCCCAGCACGGACGGACGGACGGACGGACCGACCUUCAGUUCUAACCCCCUCCCCGACAGGAGCACCUCAACUAUGUGACGGAGAUUGCCCAGGACGAGAUUUACAUCCUAGACCCAGAGCUUCUGGGAGCAUCAGCCCGGCCUGACCUCCCCACCCCUACCUCCCCACUCCCUGCUUCCCCCUGCUCCCCUACACCCGGGUCAAUGCAGGGGGACACUGCACUGCCCCAAGCUCUUCUGUGCAGGUGAAGAACUGAUUGAAGCAGCCAAGAGGAAUGACUGCUGCAAGCUCCAGGAGCUACACCGAGCAGGAGGUGACCUCAUGCACCGUGACCAGAAGAGCCGCACGCUCUUGCACCACGCGGUCAGCACUGGCAGUAAGGAAGUGGUCCGCUAUCUGCUGGAUCAUGCACCUCCAGAGAUCCUUGAUGCUGUGGAGGAGAAUGGGGAGACCUGUCUACACCAGGCAGCCGCCCUGGGUCAGCGCACCAUCUGCCACUACAUUGUGGAAGCCGGGGCCUCCCUCAUGAAGACAGAUCUGCAGGGCGACACUCCCCGGCAGCGCGCUGAGAAGGCUCAAGACACAGAGCUCGCUGCCUACCUGGAGAACAGACAGCAUUACCAGAUGAUCCAGCGUGAGGACCAGGAGACAGCUGUGUAGUUAAGGGGACCAUGGAUCAACAAGGGACACUACCAGAGGACUCUCCUUGCCCAUCUCACUGCCACAUUCCUGUCAGAUGGCUAUGGGGGGACCCUGCCACAGGGAAGGAGCCCCGUGCCACCCCCUGAGAAGCUGUUCAGAUCUAGGGCUGGACUCUAAGGAGCUGGACUCUCACCUGUCCCUGGUUUCAUGGGGAACAGGAAACAGGCUGGGCUGGCUGGUUCCCUCCCUUCAGGGCAGCCUCCAGCUCACCACAGCAGAUGGAAGGGCUGGACAGAGCUCAGCAUCGAUGUCAGGGAGGCCUGCACUCAGCAGGACUUUCAAAAGCCACCUGAUCCUUUGGGCUCUCUGGAGGGUUCUGGGUACCUAACCCUCCUCUCUGAUCCACCCACCCUGGGCAUCCCAGAAACUCAAGAGCCUGCUGUAUUCACUUGCCCGCUGCCCUGCUUGGCACCUACCCUGGUCUUCCUCCUCAUGUAUCCAGCCAUUUCAUUUCGGACUGUAUGGCCUGGGGUGGGGGGUGGGGCUCCCACGGUGACUUGUUUACAGCUGGGUGUGACUCAGUAAAGUGAAUUUUUUUUCCUUU